CGAAGGGGGAGCUAGCGUUGCUCGGAAUUACUGGGCGUAAAGCGCACGUAGGCGGAUUGCUAAGUCAGGGGGUGAAAUCCUGGAGCUCAACUCCCAGAACUGCCUUUGAUACUGGCGACCUUGAGUCCGGGAGAGGUGAGUGGAACUGCGAGUGUAGAGGUGAAAUUCGUAGAUAUUCGCAAGAACACCAGUGGCGAAGGCGGCUCACUGGCCCGGAACUGACGCUGAGGUGCGAAAGCGUGGGGAGCAAACAGG
rnacentral:rRNA from 1 species